rnacentral:lncRNA from 1 species
UAAAGAAAAUGAUUGUAGGAAUUUAAGUAAUUACGAAAUAAUAUGGAAUAAUAAAACCUAAUAAUGAAUAAUAAUCCAAUUCGAUAAUAAAAUAAUAAAUAACAUUAAACUUAUUAAAAUUAUUCUAGGGAAUAAUUAUACAACAUUACUUAAUUACUUCAAAGAAUUAACAUGCAAGUAUUAUUUGGUUCUCAUAUCACAUGCAC